rnacentral:lncRNA from 1 species
AAUCAAGUGGAUGCUCUAAUAGGAAUAUGUUGGAUAUUCAUAGGGAUGAUGAAGUUGAGAGAGAAGUUGAAGAUGAAUGGGAAGUAGUCGACGAAGGAGGAGUUGAAAAAGAAAAAGAAGAAGAAAAAUGCAUACCAUCAGAUAAAAAAAUUGAAUCAAGAAUAUAAGAAUCAGAGGUAAAAAAUAGAUUUGGAAAAAAAGAAAGAAUGCAAAGUGAGGAUGAUCUAGUUUUGAAUGAAGCUCCAAAUUCAAUAAUUUGGUUAGACGUAGAUAUCCAACAAUAAAUUAUUCAACAAAAUCAUGUCC